rnacentral:lncRNA from 1 species
CAGGAACUGCUAGCAGGGGCUCCAGAGGAGACCCCAAAGGGCCACCCCCCGGACCUCGGGCAGCGCCCAGCAGCACGCGGGGCUCUGCGGGGCCGCCACCGGCACCUGCGGACACCCCGCAGGCGGCAGCGGCGCGGAGCAGCCGCAGGCCGGGCGCCGACAGGAAGCGCGGGGGCAGCCCCCGAGCCCUCCCCUCAGCGCCGCCGCGCCCCCGGCCCUGCCAGCAGCCGCCCGCCGCCCCCCUGCCCUCCGCCGUUUCCCCGCGGCAGGGCGGCGCCCCCCCCGCGCCGGGACCUUUCCGCCGCCGCCGCCCUUCCCGGCCCGGCUCCCCGGCUGCCCGGCGCCGCCGCUGCCCCCCUAACGGUCCUAACGGCCCUAACGGCCGCGCCGCGCGCCCCCCGCCCUCACCUGCGCGGCCCCGCCCGCCGCCGGCUGCCCCCGGGGCCGCCGCUGCCUCGCGCGCAUCUCACCCGCCGCGCGGCCCCGCGGCUCGCCCCGCACACGCCAGGAGCCGCCCGGGGGGUGGGAGGGGGGGUGGUGAGGGGGGACGCGGCUGUGGGCGCGGGGGCUGCCGGGAGCCGUAGUCCCGCCGCCCCUCUCAGCCUCUGGGCCGGGCGGGGAGGCGAACUACGAGCCCCGGCGCGCCCCUCGCCGGGCGGGCGCGCGGCGCAUGCGCGCGCGGCCCCGCAAGAGUUUCCGUUACUUUCCUCGCCCUGUGGCGGCGGCUGCCCCGUAACCGCUAACGGGGCGGCGGGGGCGCUGCGCAGCGCUGCCGCCGGCUCCCCUCAGGGGGCUCCUCGGGGCUCACCUCGGCCGGGCGCGGGUGGCGGCCCCUCAGGAGACGCCCAGCCUCGCCCCCGGCCCCAGGGCUGCCUCCCACCCCGGGGUCGGGCAUCCAGCCCGUCCCCGCCGCCCCGGGGAGCGGCUGAGGUGGGGGCGCCUGGCCGGGCCCCCAGCGGGCAGCCGGGGGGCACCGUGGGCAGAAACCCGGAGGGUGCCGGCUCUGGGCCCGCAGCGCGCUGCCUUCGUCUGGCGCUCCCGGGGCCUGGCCUGAAACCCGCUGGGGGUCGGUGCAGGCUCUCCGCUUGCUUCAGCCUCGUUUGCAUCAGCCCCUGCUGCCCGGCAGCUGAUAGGGUCUGUAAGGACGGCUGUGUUCCCGCUGGAGACGGCUUGUUUGAUAAAGAAUUAGCCUGCAGCUUCUCGUUGAAAUCUGGAACUACUUUAAACCCAAAGUGCAGCAGUUAA